GCUGGGCAUGGUGGCUCAGGCCUGUAAUCCCAGCACUUUGGGAAGCUGAGAUGGGAGAAUCACUUGAGCCCAGGAGUUCAAGACCAGCCUGGGCAAUAUAGUGAGACCUCAUCUCUA
rnacentral:SRP_RNA from 3 species